rnacentral:rRNA from 1 species
CGAACGCUGGCGGCAUGCCUAACACAUGCAAGUCGAACGAGACCUUCGGGUCUAGUGGCGCACGGGUGCGUAACGCGUGGGAAUCUGCCCUUAGGUUCGGAAUAACUUCGGGAAACUGAAGCUAAUACCGGAUAAUGACGUAAGUCCAAAGAUUUAUCGCCAAGGGAUGAGCCCGCGUAGGAUUAGCUAGUUGGUGUGGUAAGGGCGCACCAAGGCGACGAUCCUUAGCUGGUCUGAGAGGAUGAUCAGCCACACUGGGACUGAGACACGGCCCAGACUCCUACGGGAGGCAGCAGUGGGGGAAUAUUGGACAAUGGGCGAAAGCCUGAUCCAGCAAUGCCGCGUGAGUGAUGAAGGCCUUAGGGUUGUAAAGCUCUUUUACCCGGGAAGAUAAUGACUGUACCGGGAGAAUAAGCCCCGGCUAACUCCGUG